rnacentral:rRNA from 1 species
CCCCUAGAUGUUCUUGGCCGCACGCGCGCUACACUGAACAGUUCAACAAGUCUUAACCUUGGCCGAUAGGUCUGGGUAAUCUUUGAACGCUGUUCGUGAUUGGGAUAGACCUUUGCAAUUAUGGGUCUUCAACGAGGAAUUCCUAGUAAACGCAAGUCAUCAGCUUGCAUUGAUUACGUCCCUGCCCUUUGUACACACCGCCCGUCGCACCUACCGAUUGAAUGGUCCGGUGAAAUCUCGGGACGGCGGCUUGGUCGCUUGCGUCCGACUGCUGAAACUUGAUUAAACCAUAUCAUUUAGAGGAAGGUGAAGUCGUANCA